rnacentral:rRNA from 1 species
CUUGUACACACCGCCCGUCACACCAUGGGAGUGGGUUUUACCAGAAGUGGCUAGUCUAACCGCGAGGAGGACGGUCACCACGGUAGGAUUCAUGACUGGGGUG